rnacentral:snRNA from 1 species
AUACUUACCUGGCAGGGGAGAUACCACAAUCACAAAGGUAGUUUUCCUAGGGUGAGGCUCACCCAUUGCACUCCGAAGGUGCUGAACCCCUCGAUUUCCCCAAAUGUGGGAAACUACUUGACUGCAUCAUGUGUGGCCGUGGGUGACUUCGUUCACCAUCUCCCCUA